AACGAACGCUGGCGGCAUGCCUAACACAUGCAAGUCGAACGAGACCUUCGGGUCUAGUGGCGCACGGGUGCGUAACGCGUGGGAACCUGCCCUUAGGUUCGGAAUAACUCCCCGAAAGGGGUGCUAAUACCGGAUAAUGUCUUCGGACCAAAGAUUUAUCGCCUUUGGAUGGGCCCGCGUUGGAUUAGCUAGUUGGUAGGGUAAAAGCCUACCAAGGCGAGGAUCCAUAGCUGGUCUGAGAGGAGGAUCAGCCACACUGGGACUGAGACACGGCCCAGACUCGUACGGGAGGCAGGAGUGGGGAAUAAAGGGGAAGGGGCGAAAGCCUGAUCCAGCAAGGCCGCGUGAGUGAUGAAGGCCUUAGGGUUGUAAAGCGCUCUUACCCGGGAUGAGAAUGACAGUACCGGGAGAAGAAGCUCCGGCUAACUACGUG
rnacentral:rRNA from 1 species